rnacentral:pre_miRNA from 13 species
AGAGAGCUUCUUUCAGCCCACUCGUGGAUAGGACAAAGGGGUUGAACUAGCUGCCGACUCAUUCAUUCAAGCACUAGUAGAAAAAAAGGCGAACGGUGUUUCUUUUGCUACUGUGAUUGUGUGAAUGAUGCGGGAGAUAAUUUUCCAUCCUCUCCUUUUCUGUGCUUGGACUGAAGGGAGCUCCUUCC